rnacentral:rRNA from 1 species
UACGUAGGGUGCGAGCGUUGUCCGGAUUUAUUGGGCGUAAAGAGCUCGUAGGCGGUUUGUCGCGUCGGCCGUGAAAUCUCCACGCUUAACGUGGAGCGUGCGGUCGAUACGGGCAGACUUGAGUUCGGUAGGGGAGACUGGAAUUCCUGGUGUAGCGGUGAAAUGCGCAGAUAUCAGGAGGAACACCGGUGGCGAAGGCGGGUCUCUGGGCCGAUACUGACGCUGUGGAGCGAAAGCGUGGGGAGCGAACAGG